rnacentral:misc_RNA from 1 species
UUUUCUUUCAAGUUAUAAGGCUAUGAUCAUAGUUGAACCCAUAAAAACUAUGCUAUGAUAAUAGUUGGACCCAUAAAAACUAUGUUUCUUUUUUACUUGAAUAUGAGAAAAAAAUUGUAUAAAAAAAUGAUAAAUUGUGAUAUAUGCGAUGGCUGGUGGCUGUUGAUGGCCAGAGAUGAUUGGUGGUGAUAAAUGGACAAAUUAGUAUGUGCUUAUGUGAUUCUUUUAUAAGUUCAUUCCCUUUAAAUAAUUUUCUCGAAAUCCAGAAAAUGAUUUUGUUUUCCCUUUGGCCAAGAAUACUUUUUUGUUGAUUAGUUUUCCUAAAUGCCCCAAAUGUUAAAAGUAAAUUGUUUUCUGAGAAAAUAUAUUUUUUCAAAAUGGUCAGGUUGCCUUGCAUCCUGGUAGAAAUGUGAAGAGGUGAUCAAAUAUAUUGUUUGACUUGUAUAUUUAAGAAGUCUUUUCUGAUUCUGUCAGUCAAAUUGUUUAUAUUGAUUGCUCAG